rnacentral:rRNA from 1 species
UGGCGGACCGGCGCACGGGUGAGUAACGCGUAUGCAACUUACCUAUCAGAGGGGAGUAGCCCGGCGAAAGUCGGAUUAAUACCCCAUGAAACAGGGGUCCCGCAUGGGAAUAUUUGUUAAAGAUUCAUCGCUGAUAGAUAGGCAUGCGUUCCAUUAGGCAGUUGGCGGGGUAACGGCCCACCAAACCGACGAUGGAUAGGGGUUCUGAGAGGAAGGUCCCCCACAUUGGUACUGAGACACGGACCAA